rnacentral:snRNA from 1 species
GUCGCUUCUCUGCCUUUUGGCUAAGAUCAAGUGUAGUAUUCUUAUCAGUUUAAUAUCUGUUUCUUUGAAUUGCUCCCGGGGACAAAUAACGUUUUUUUGAAUUUAAAUUGAAUUUGAAUGCAAUCCAGAAAGGAAUGUGACAUUAACGAUGGAGUCAGUAGCUUUUCAAUCAUA